UACGUAGGUGGCAAGCGUUUGUCCGGAUUUACUGGGCGUAAAGAAUGCGUAGGCGGAUAUUUAAGUCAGAUGUGAAAUCCCCGGGCUCAACUUGGGGGCUGCAUUUGAAACUGGAUAUCUAGAGUGCGGGAGAGGAGAGUGGAAUUCCUAGUGUAGCGGUGAAAUGCGUAGAGAUUAGGAAGAACACCAGUGGCGAAGGCGACUCUCUGGACCGUAACUGACGCUGAGGCAUGAAAGCGUGGGGAGCAAACAGG
rnacentral:rRNA from 1 species